GGGGGAAUAAAGGAAUAGAGUCGGGGGUUGUGUCAUCCUGGCACUUCGCUUCAGCUCCGAACGUAAAAGGACAGCAAUCUGGGUCGGCAAUAUAAGGGCGACGGAAGAUGAACUUAAGUUUGUCUCAUAGUCUAUAGAGACAUGUUCAUGGUGAUCCUUGGGCAAAGUCACAUCAGCAUUACUUCAUCCAGGAGAGAUCUUUUGGAACAAGGCUAGAUGUAAAUGUUAUUGUCAAAAGGCUUAAAGAAGUGGAAGGACGAUUAUUUGGGAAUAGUGUGUACUGGGUUCAUUUUAACAAGAAAAUAUUCUGAAAGGAGUUUCUUUUGGUGGCAGAUACAAGGGUUGAGGAACCCUGAGGAACCGAAUAUGGAUCUGACUUGACUCCAAGGAGUAUUUUGUUUUUCAAAAGCAUGCUUGAGUUUGGUAUUAUGCUAGAAAGUUUGAUGUUCACAACAAAUUUUAUCAGAUGUAUUGAUGCUGUUGGUUGUUUUCAAUGGGUAGUCCCAUUCCAUGAUACUCAAAAUGCUGGCUGAUAAGGAUGUUUUACCUUGACUUCAAUUUUCCAUGGCGCUGUGAUAUGAAGGCAGACUAUCACAUGAUGAGGGAGGUAGUUUAUCUAUAUUUGGCAUUUGUCUUGAGGAAGGUAUGUGGUAUUUUACUGUUCGAAAUUCUUUAUGAAUAAUAAUGUGUUUAUUUUGAAUAAAAUAAUAUUACCCUUGCCUGUAAAUGUUAGCCUAUAUUACUAUAAUGCCCCUUCCAUGAUUGACAAUUCAUCUCUGCAAAAUCAAUAUUGUGAGGUCCAUGCAGAUGAUCCAAGUAGUUCAAUUGUUGUAUCUCCUCAUCCCUUUUUUUUUCUUGAUUGCUAAGUUUCUCCUGAUCUGUUUAUUACAAUGAAGUCAAGGUGUUGCUCAUUGCCUAGCUGAUUCACUGUUGCCUAAGGAUUACCAAGUGACAUCCGGUGGUUAGGCACUGACCAAUUAAGCAGUGUGAAUUUUAGGUUUUUUUUUUUUUUCUUUUUGUAAACACUACAUUUCCAAAGACAAAUUAUAUUUCGUUUUAAUGCAAUAUAUUUUUCUUUUACAAACAUGAGGAAGAUAUAAAGAAAAGGGCAAAUUUCUUAAACUACCUUUAUGGUUUAGCUAAUUGACUAAGUAUACCCCCUCUGUUUGACUAUUGUCUAAUGCUACCCUUACUGUUUUGGAAAAUUACCAUUACUGUUAAAAUAUUAACGGAAGGGCUGAAAUGCCCGUUUAGCCCUUAGGUCAAAUUGAGAGCUCCUCUGGUUCUUCUUCAUCUUCCUUGGUUUGUCUUGGCCGCCCAGGUCCAGAUCUGGGUUCCUUCAUCUGAGAUGAGGUGGGCAGGUAUGGAGGAGCUUUGAACAGAUGCAGAUCUGAGUAGAGAGCUUUGAACGGAUGCAGAACAGCACCAGCCUCUCUCUCUCCCCGUCCCCUUCAUUCUCUCUCCCUCUCACCCCUGUUUCAUCACCGCCGUUGCUGCAAAGCGGUGGACCCCUCCACAUCCAACCUCUCUCCGUCCCCUUCGUUCUCUCUCCCUCUCGCCCCUGUUUCAUCACCAACACUGCAGCAGCAGCGGGUCCCUCCACAUCCGGCCUCUCUCUCCAUCUUUCCGUCCCCUUCAUUCUCUCUCCCUCUCGCCCUUUUUCGUUCUUUGAGAUGAUUUUUUGUGGGACAAGUCGCCUGGAGGAGGAAGAAGCAGAAAGCAGCAUUAAAAUUGUAGAUCUACGCUAGAUCUAGCGUUAGACUGACUAUUAAAUCAGUUAAUGAGUUAGAUCUAGCAACUUUUUAUUUUUAAUAUUUGUCUCCCGUUAUAGAAUCUACAACUCAAACUAUAAGAAUGGAUAAAAAUCUGAUUGUAUUGCCAUUGAUUUGUGCAAUUCUUUUGUUGAAUCUGAUUUGUGAAAAUUUUAUCCCAUUUGAUAGUUGGACCCGCACAUACAUACUAGAUGCUCGAAGAAAUUGAAAUCCCCCUUAUCUCUGUAUGUUUUUGUUAUUAAAGUAAAGAAAAAGAAAGUGUUAGCUUAGAUCACGGUCUUUGCCGCUGCCAUCUUUGUGUGAGUUAAGGUAGCUUAGAUACCGAAAAAACUUGUGGCCAAUCAACUGGUAUAAUAAAAGAGGCUAUCACGCAGUUGAUUCUGGUUGAUUAGCUGUAAGUUUGUGUGGUAUUAUAGUUGAACCCUAGUUAGGGUUUAAAAACAUUAGCAGGUGAACUAUCGUCUGGAUGAAUAUUUUAAUUGUUCUCCCUCUCACCCCUGCUUCAUCACUGCCGACCCCUCCACAUCCAUGCUUGAACCCUACAGAGUGGAGUUGUCUCUGUAGGGAGCCGUCUCUGGUGAGAUUGAGGUUUAGAAAGAACCAACAAAAAGAGGAAUAACUCUUUUUGCCGUCAAGAUGGAUUUUUUCUUCACCAUAGAGUGGAGCUUCUUGAUUUUCAUUGCAGAUUGGCAGGAGGUGCCGGUGGCUCUCUUGAAGAAGAUGGUGAAGGAGGAGGGAGAGGGAGAUGGAUGAAGGGUAAAUUUGGGUUUUAAAAAAAUUAUAUAUCAUGUGUGAGGAAUAUUAACGGAUGCUAAUGUUUAAGGUAGAGCUAGUCAAUUGUCAGAAACAGUAGGGGCUUGCAUUAGACAAUAGUCAAACAGUAGGGGUAUACAUAAUCAAUUAACUAAAUCAUAAGGGUAAUUUAAGAAAUUUGCCCUAAAGAAAACUGUGUGAUGGAGAUGAGUGGUUCAAGGAAAAAAAGGCCUUAAGAGGGGGAGGGGGGAGACUAGGAGAUAACAGCAAUAAUCUUAAACGGGACCACUGUAAUAUAAUAUUGGAAGGUGCUCAUCCACCUCUUCUUUGUCUUACUUGUUAAGUCUUGUUUUGAAACAGUGAUGCUAUCAUAUGCAGCUGAGCUGCCUUUCGUUUUGCAUUUCAAACACAACAGGGUUUAGGAAAAGACAUGUUAAAGGACAACAGUUGAGCAUAGUAAAGGCAGUUGAGCUGCCUGAUAGCAUUUCUUCUUCUCCUUUCCUCCAGGGAAAUAUCAUCUUCUAGGUUAGCAUUCUGAAAUGCAUAGCCAUCACCUUGUAGCCAUGAUCACAUUCACUAAGUGGCACGAUACAGGCAACACGUGCAAGGCACUGACACUGAGGCUUUAUGUUCUUAUGUUAUUCAAGAAAUGGAUAUCAGCAUAUUUGAUUGAAUGCAGUACCCACUGGCUAUACAAGUGGGUUGCCGGUAAUGGUAUAGAAGCAUGCCGGGGGAAAUUACAAUACAGGGUGUUUCUUAAUGCCAAAACGCCCUCAACAUUGAGCCAGUAACUGAGGGUGUUUUAGUAAUCACACAGGACAACUUUAUUUUUUUUCAAUAAAAAAAUUAGAAAAAGUUUGUGCAAUGCACGUGUGUAGUAGCACUGUAUUUCUACAUACUGAGAGACCCAUUUAGUACACUGUAAAUCAAUUAUUAUGUCAAAAGGAAUCGUGGGUUUUGCUGCUUUUACACACCAGCAACAGCACGCACGUGUUUCUUGAGCCAUUGGGUGCUCAUCCAUUCAUGUUUGAGCUAUUAGCCUAUUAUAUAUUAUGUGCACACUACUGACAGAGUCACAGAAGCACAGAAGAGCAAUGACAAGAAGCAAAAUAAAAGGACAGAUGCAAAUAUCAAGGUGCGACAUCAUGUGUAUAUAAGCAAGCAGCCGAGCCUGGUGAUGGUUGAUGCUUUUUGGGACAAAAGAAUAGUGAAACGUGGCAAGAAGAUUGGAGAUGCCUUCAUGACCACAAGACUGACUAGUGACUGGUGGUGACUCCUCUGUCAUCUUUCUAUGAUUAGAUAGAGCAGAGUAUGUAUCCAUUGGGCGAUUCAGUUUUGUAGAAUUACUGUAGAACUUGCGACACUUGCACUGCUCCGAGGAAAAAAAAAUGGAGAAUUUUCAGGCGUUGUUUUUUAAAAUGGGCAAUUGCAUCAUUGCAUCUACAUAUGUAUAUGCUCUUGUGUUUGUUUUUUCCGUUCUGUUGGUUUCUAUUCUUCCCCCACUUGUGAUGAUUCCAAAGAGAAUACAUAUAUAUAAAUAAUUUUAAACUAUUACAGCACCAGGCAGCUGUAUUCCGGCAUUUGUUCUUAGAAU